UACAGAGACCUCAAGCGUUAUCCGGAAUCAUUGGGCGUAAAGCGUACCGAUAGGUGGUCUAAAAAGUCAGAAGUGAAAUCUCAAGGCUCAACUUUGAGACUGUCUUUUGAAACUUUUAGACUAGAGGGGCAAAGAGGAAGCUGGAACGAACGGUGUAGUAGUGAAAUGCGUUGAUAUCGUUCGGAACACCAAUAGCGAAGGCGGGCUUCUGGGUGCCACCUGACACUGCUAGGACGAAAGCGUGGGGAGCGAACAGG
rnacentral:rRNA from 1 species